rnacentral:rRNA from 1 species
UACGGAGGGGGCUAGCGUUGUUCGGAAUUAGCUAGGGCGUAAGCGCACGGUUAGGCGGCUUUGUAAGUUACGGACGGUGAAAGCCCGGGGCUCAACUCCGGAAUUGCCUUUAAGACUGCAUCGCGUAGAAUUGUGGAGAGGUAAGUGGAAUUCCGAGUGUAGAGGUGAAAUUCGUAGAUAUUCGGAAGAACACUAGUGGCGAAGGCGACUUAA